UACGGAGGGCGCGAGCGAUAUCCGGAAUCGCUGGGUUUAAAGGGUGCGUAGGCGGCUCGGUAAGUCAGUUGUGAUAGCCCCUUGCUUAACGAGGGAGGUGCGAUUGAUACUGUCGAGCUUGCAUCGGGAUGAGGCAGGCGGAAUGUGGCAUGUAGCGGUGAAAUGCAUAGAUAUGCCAUAGAACGCCGAUUGCGAAGGCAGCCUGCUGGGCCUGUAUUGACGCUGAGGCACGAAAGCGUGGGGAGCAAACAGG
rnacentral:rRNA from 1 species